CGCAGAUAGCCCACUACCUUUUCCUCCAAUCGGCCUCAUCUUAUCUUUUUCUCUUCUCCUACAGAGGAGCGCACGGGAGUAACCGGCGCAUUAGUGCAACAGGAUAAAGAGGUGGAGGUGGCUCGGCGAAGUGGAAUGAGGCACGGGACAACCGGCAUGGGCGGUUCACGCGCAGGGGAGGCGCGGUCCGAGAGGCGGAGAAGGCUGUCGUGGAGAGGGCAUAGCCGGCCGGAGGCCAGCCGCGGAGAUGGCAGAGGCGCGGCGGAAGGCUCAGGCAAGGCGACGCAUGGGUCGCAGAGGGAGUGCGCGGGCGGCCCGAGCUGUGAACCGACAGGUGUGGUUGGCGGAGUGAGGCAGGUCAGCCACGGUGGGGCCGGCUCAAAGUAGCGUGACACAAGAGACGAUGCUACAGAGGCGGCGUGGGACCGAACCCGAUGCGGGAAGACAACUUGAGGCAAGGCGGCUCAAGGCCGGCCACGGCAAGGGCGGCGAUGAGGUCGGGCGACUGAGGCGGCAUCGUGGCAGAGGCGGGUAGAGGCCGGGGGGCUCCAGGGCGAAGCAGGCCCACGGGGCCGACUCGUUGCAGAGGUGACGCUGCGUCGGCGGAGGCGCGCCAGGCAAGCGAUGACGAGGUGAGCCACGGCGGCGGCGGUUGCUCACAGCAGGGGCAAGGCGGCGGUGACUUGAGGUAGCACAGAGAGCAGCCGUGGCAAGGCGAGGUCGGAGCGGAGGCGGGUGGCUCGCGUCCGGGGCGGCUAACUGGCUAUGGCCAUGGCGGGGGUUUCGUGAGGCCGUGGUCGCAACAGUAGCGGAAGCAGGCGGGUCCGCAGGGACGGCUCGGAGGUGGCCGUGAGGCAGGACCACAGCUGCAACAGCGGAGGCCGUCGGCGGCUCACCACGGGAGAGGCUAGUCCAGGCAGAAACAGAGAGCGGCGGCGGCGGCUCAAGGCCCGCUCGACGGAGACCAGCGGAGGAGGCGGCUCAAAACAAGGCCGCGCAAGCAACGGCGAAGGAGUGUAUUCGCUCCUGAUUCGUGGCUGCAACCACUUCCGGGUCGUGCCCAUCCUUUUUUUGGUCUCUCGUCGUUGCACGUAGGAGUUGCCGCUGCCUGUGGUUUGCUUUGUUUCUUUCGGUUGCCACAAUCCAUGCUUGCACUUUGGAGACACGAGGUAGUGGUAAUUUUAUGAGCCACAUGAGCAGUGGAUUUGACUAGUACUAGGACACAUUACGCUUCUCCUUGAACCAUGUGGAAAUAUACUAAGAGCAUGCUUAAUAAUACGGCCAACUGUCACCUAUAACAAGUUGCCAUGUCAUCUACAGCCAACCUCUUAGCCGGCAUGUACAAUAGUAAGUUCUAAAUAUGUACUAGUUUAUCAAUAUUAGUCCCACCUUACAUUCUCGCAAAGCGUCUUGGUCUCGUGUUACAGCUGGCUACUAACGAAGAGCCUGCUUUUUUCUCUCUCCUCUUGUCUUUCCUCCAACUAAGCAAAGAUUUAUUAUUCUAUUCUUUAUAUUCUGCUUAUGUCACUCUAUUGUACUAGCUCUAAUGCUUUGAUUCAGCUAGUCUUCCAUAAACAGUGACUUCCCUUGCCUAGUCCGUCGGUCUCUUUUUACUUCUUUUUUUCUAUGAUAGAGCAGAUGUCGCUGGACUCUUCAAUUGCCUUGACUCGAGCAAGCAGUAGUUAGCAGAUCUGACCGACAUUGAUUUUUGGUGCUUUCCGUUUUGGCAUAGAUUGAUCACGGCUGUGCUGGCGCAUAACCGAGAGAAACAGAUCGCUCGGCGCCGCAGAGUUGGUGUCCGUUUUGAGCCAUAGCGGAGAUUGGAUACAAUCAAUCCAGUAGAUGCGGCCUACGCCCAAGUAAAUUGCACAGAAGUACCACAAUUGGGGCAUUGGAAGCAGAUUGAUACCAAGAUUGGUAAUUUUUACGUGUCAGUACCAAGAUUGGGGCUAGCCGUUGCAAAAUAGACUAAAAGCUCGUUUUGUACGUAUUGACACUAAAGCUGACCGAUUGGGCCCGCCCGUCAGGCGCCACACUGGCCAGUGCGCGCGUCGCCUGCGCUGGCUGCGCGCUGACUCGGACGAGGCCGGCUCGGCCCGUUUAUGUGCGACCUUGCCAGACCCCGACCCCGACUGCGCUCGCUUCUUCUUUCUUACUUCCUGCUCUCUACCUCGCCGUCGCCUGCGCCCGCCACUGCCGGCCGCCACAGCACGCCGCCGCAGCCAUGGUUCUGGAGGACGAGAGCAGCGACGACAACUCAAGCCUCCCGUACAUGCACUCCGAAACCUCCACCGAUGGGCUGAACCAGGUGCCUUUCUCUCUUGAGGACCCGGAUUACAAGGGUCUUGAGCUAGAUCUGAUAGUGUUGUGCGAGAAGCAUGGGAAGCCAUCAGAGAGGCUUGUUGCGUUUGAAGGAACAAUGACUGGGAGAAGGUUCUUAGCAUGUGCAGAGCCGGAAGGUCAGAAUUGUGGGUUUGUUCAGUGGGUUGAUGAGCAGUGGCCCCCAACAAUGGAGAAUGCAUUGCUGAAGCUUUGGCCAAUGGUUGAAGAGAGCAAGUCUGCUAGGGUGAAUGAUAAUCUUCAAAGUGCUCUAACUAUUCAUCAGUUGACAGAAGAAAAGAACAAGCUGGAUGCAGACUAUGACAAGUUAGUGAAAGAUGUGCAUCAACUUGUGGACUUUCAGUAGGAUAGGGUUGUGGAUUUCAGUUAUCUGUAGUCUGCUGUCACAUAUCAGCACCAAUGCAGAGCUGAAUUGGUGGCUGGUAUGAAUGCAGAAAUGGCAAAGAAAGAUGCAGCUGCACAGAAGCUUCAACAAAAGUAUGAACUCCUGUGCAACCUGACAAGUGCUCAAGCAACUUUCAUCCAAAACUUGAAGUUGAAGAAUAUGAAAGAGAAGGAAUUGUUGAGUGAGGGUAGGAUGAAUUUGGAGUUGAAGAAUGCAGAGUUCACAAAGUUUGAGGAGAAGCUCACCCAAGAGAAGCUAGAGUUGAAGCUCCAGGUUGCUGAUCUGCUGAAGCUCAAGGAAAACCAUAAUGAAGAGAAGCAGAUGCAAGAGUUUAAGAUUACUAAGCUCAUCAAGGCAGAGGAGAAGCUGAAGGAGAAGAUCAAGGGGAUCCAGGCCAUCUUGCAGAACUGAACAAGAUAACUUGAGAUUAGUGGGCAUUGCAGACCUUUUGGGAAUGAUGGUUGUGCAAUGACCUAGUAACUUAGAAUUAUGGUUGUGUAAUGUAUGGUUCUAGUACUAAUUGUGAACUCUGGUUGUAACUCUAGUAGUUAUGCUAUUCAUCCUUUUGUGAGAAAAGGAUGGAUUGUGCAUUUGAACUCCACUAUGUAAUGUGAUCAAUGUGAAC
rnacentral:rRNA from 1 species